AAAUAAGAAACAAUUAAUUGUAUUUAGUUUCGACCUAAAAUUUUGAUGAAAUUUCAUCCUUAUUUA
rnacentral:tRNA from 1 species